rnacentral:lncRNA from 1 species
UGUACCCUUUUAUCAUCUUUUGUAUUUGAUGAUUUAAGAUAUUGAUGUAUAAAGCAAAGAAAGAAAAGAAUGUAAAGUUCUCCUUUGAAGUAUAUGUGAUGUACGAAAGAAAUGAUGUAAUGUUAUAAUGAAAUGUAAGGAAUCGAAAAUGUACAAGUUGGAUGUUUAGUUUUCUUUCUUUCACUUGUGGUUAUUGCCUACCCUCGUGUAAGCCAUUUAUGUAUGUUUCCGCUAGUGCACUUCUGUUUGAAAAUGUACAUGUGAUGAGCCUUGGGCGGACAGGAGAAACUCUGUCCGUUCGGCGUCUGUUUGACGUGCCCGGGCCGGCCCAAAUUGGUAU